GAAAAUAGGUUUUAUCUCUCAUCACCAUGGACUGAUUGAUAAUGGUUGACCAAAUCAUUAUGUUGAUGAAAGUCUGGGAUGAUCAUCUACAUGCUGUGCGAUAAAUUCCUCGAUCAAUUAACUCUGCCAAGAGUGUGGAAGGCAGGAAGAUUACAGAUAAGACAGAAUAUCAAUAGCUCCUUCCUGACACAAAACCAAAGGAAUUGCAAUAUGGAAGCUGGUGAUUUCGGUGAGGAGGUUUGUGGAACUGAAAAUUUCCAAGUUCUGUUAUUGAACAUGUGUUUGGUUUCAACCUGGCAAAUAUUUAUAGGAUUUAUAGCAUCAUUCAAGAGCAAGAGUAGAGUCUGAAGGGUUUUGGCUGACUUCAUGCAUUUCAAAGAUCCAGAAAGAGAAUUGGAAACUUGUAUUUGACUGCAUAUAUAUCAAAAGAGAUCAGACUGAAAGGAAAAUGAUUGUUUUAAUCCAUAAGGCAUUGAGAGGCCUUGAAGUAGCCACUUUAGUUUCUUUUAUUCCCCAUCAUCAAAUUAAAAUGAGAGAAAUAGUAGGUGGCAAUGAAUGCAAUACUGUUUUGCAAAUUGGAUACUAUUAUCUUAGGCUUGUUUUGAGCUUUACUCCUUUACCACCCUCCUCUCUCUUUCCUCCUCCUAUUUACCCCACUCCUGAAACCUUUUUAUUGUAAGGUUUUGUUAAAUUCUAUUUCUCUGUUAUCUUUUCCUUUGGGCACCAAAGUUGCUGGACUUGAAAGCUAGUUUUGUGUUUCCCUUCCUUUUCUCAGACUAGUGCUUUCUGAGCACUAACUCUUGUAGGAGAGGAAAAAAUUUUCCUCAACUGUCUUAGGAUCACUGUCUGAGUCUGAAAAUUAAACUGACAAAUAUAAAUUAACAGGUGAAAAGCACACAAAUGUAUUUAAUUUUACAUGACAUAAGCUCUUUUAAUAAGGAAAUGAAGACCCAAAGAAACAGUUAGAUGUGUAUUUUAGAUUCUAUGAAGAGUGCACAGUCAUGAAGGAAUGUAAUAGUUUAAAGAAUAUGAGAUAAUUGUAGUAAACUGGGGGAAAUUUAGCAAGGUCUGUUUGUUAGGAUUCUUCUUGAUAUCUCUUUGUCUUUGGAGAUAAGGAUGUUCCUUUCUUAUAAGUAUAGGAGAGGGCACUUCUCACAGGAGGGUUUUUUAGCGUGUUUCAGGGAAGGAGGGGGAAGAGGGAAAUCAGAGUCACCUCCUGCUUCUGCCAUUUCUCAAACUCCUUGAGCUUAAAAUAUUCAAUACGUCAAGGUGCCAUAGUUUGAGUUAGAGUUUCCUGAAUCCCAUUACUCUCUAGCUAAUUCUUUCCUGUUUUGCCCCUUAUAUAAUUAGAAACCUCGAGCUGAUCUCCUUCCUCUUUCCUUCUCCCUGAGCCAGAUUUAAAUGCAUGUCACUUCACCAGAUUCAGUCAGCACUUCCCACUGAGUUCUGAACACAAUUUUAGGGUGUACAUUUAAUUCAUUUAAUCUCAUCUUCUUUGCAUGAUUUGACAGUUGAGAAUAAAAGAAAAUCUCUAUCUAGAACUUAAACUUUUUUCAGUUAACUACUAAGAAUAGCAACAUAUUUAAAAAGAAUUGCCUUUUCCUGUCUUGGAUGAAUGCAUAUGUAAGAUUUAUGUUAAAAAUGUUAAAGUGCCAUGGCAUUUUAAUAAAGCAUGUUAGGAGAACUUGCAUUUUAUGAGCUAUCAAUGACGUCAAAUGUUAUAUAAAAUGGGUGUCUGAGUUAAUUAAGAAAAGAAAAAGACUUGAGUAAACUCUAUGAAAAAUAACUUAGGACAUAUUAACUUACAAAGACCCUGUGCCUAAAUUUUGUGGAUAUCUGUUUGUCAAAACCAAGGCUAUAGUUAAUGCUGUGUAGAAAACUUCGGGCACCAGGCAAAAUUGUGUGAUUUGUUUAAUUCUACCUUUUCCUCUGGAUGAAUAAAUGACAAGCAAUACGAUAUAUUAGAGUAUAUGAUGAAAGAAUUUGGCUUAGAACUAAUUCAGCCUGACCCUAUUUUUCCAGAAAGGCCUGUCAGCAUGGCCUGUUGAACAUGCAUUGUACAUCUGCUUUAAAUGUUUACAGUGUCCCAAAGCCAAGAAUGAUUCCCUUAAAGAUAGGAAUGUAGCUCCCCCAUGUGUGCAUUUCUUUAAAGAUAAACAGCUCUUCCCAGAAACUAAGGAUUAAUUGCUGACUUGCUGUGUUCACCUUGUGACCACUGACCUGCUGUGCCAGUAAAGCAAUCUUGUGACAGUUAUAAAAUGAAUAUUCCUGUCAUAUGUGAUGUAUGCUUUUUGUGCUAAGAUGGUAAAUAACCUCUCUGUACACCUUUCUUCUUUGGAGUGCUUCCUUCCUUCAUGAAGGUACUGUCCCAGGCUAUAUGGUCCUUAGGUUUGGCUCAUAAUGAAUUCACCCCAAUUUUGAUUUAUAGAUUGAUUAUGGAU